rnacentral:rRNA from 1 species
GGGGCAGCGGAUUGAAGCUUGCUUCAAUGCCGGCGACCGGCGCACGGGUGAGUAACGCGUAUCCACCUUCCGCGUACUCGGGGAUAGCCUUCUGAAAAGGAGAUUAAUACCCGAUGGUAUUGCAUUAAUAAAGAACUCGGUAUGCGAUGGGGAUGCGUUCCAUUAGGUAGUAGGCGGGGUAACGGCCCACCUAGCCUGCGAUGGAUAGGGGUUCUGAGAGGAAGGUCCCCCACAUUGGAACUGAGACACGGUCCAAACUCUACGGGAGGCAGCAGUGAGGAAUAUUGGUCAAUGGACGAGAGUCUGAACCAGCCAAGUAGCGUGAAGGAUGAAGGUUUAUGGAUUGUAAACUUCUUUUAUAAGGGAAUAAACCUCCCACGUGUGGGAGCUUGUAUGUACCUUAUGAAUAAGCAUCGGCUAACUCCGUGCCAGCAGCCGCGGUAAUACGGAGGAUGCGAGCGUUAUCCG